GCUUAACGCGAAGAACCUUACCAGGCCUUGACAUGCAGAGAACUUUCCAGAGAUGGAUUGGUGCCUUCGGGAGCUCUGACACAGGUGCUGCAUGGCUGUCGUCAGCUCGUGUCGUGAGAUGUUGGGUUAAGUCCCGUAACGAGCGCAACCUUGUCCUUAGUUACCAGCACGUUAUGGUGGGCACUCGUAAGGAGACUGCCGGUGACAAACCGGAGGAAGGUGGGGAUGGACGUCAAGUCAUCAUGGCCCUUACGGCCUGGGCUACACACGUGCUACAAUGGUCGGUACAGAGGGUUGCCAAGCCGCGAGGUGGAGCUAAUCUCACAAAACCGAUCGUAGUCCGGAUCGCAGUCUGCAACUCGACUGCGUGAAGUCGGAAUCGCUAGUAAUCGCGAAUCA
rnacentral:rRNA from 1 species